GUAACCGCAUCUGAUCUGGGCGCUCCGGGAAGGGCGAGACUGGAGCAGAGCCGCUGGGCGCCGGAGCCGAGGCGAGCGCCGCGCGCACCACUGAGAUGCAGUCUCACUGUGUUGCCCAGAAUGGUUUCAAACUCCUCAAAGAUUGGGCUCAAAGUUCGGGCUCAAGUGAUCCUCCCGCCUUGGCCUCCCGAAGUUCUUGGAUUACAAGCUUGAGCCACUGCCUGGCCUCAAUUUCACUCUUAACAAAAUAUUUCAAAUAUACAAAUAAUCUAAAAAGUGGGGACUAAUGUUCUAGAUACUGAUAUUCCUACCACACCCAUCAGAAAAGAAAUGCGAACACUGUUCUAGAUGUUUUCAGAUUUAUCUUUACUUCUCCAUUAUUGCAGUUAUUUUUACUAUUUUUACUUGUGCCAUUCAACAUACACCCUCUUACAACUACUUGCUAG
rnacentral:lncRNA from 10 species